GAUGGACUCGCGGCCUAUCAGCUAGUUGGUGAGGUAAUGGCUCACCAAGGCGACGACGGGUAGCCGGCCUGAGAGGGUGACCGGCCACACUGGGACUGAGACACGGCCCAGACUCCUACGGGAGGCAGCAGUGGGGAAUAUUGCACAAUGGGCGAAAGCCUGAUGCAGCAACGCCGCGUGAGGGACGACGGCCUUCGGGUUGUAAACCUCUUUUAGUAGGGAAGAAGCGAAAGUGACGGUACCUGCAGAAAAAGCACCGGCUAACUACGUGCCAGCAGCCGCGGUAAUACGUAGGGUGCAAGCGUUGUCCGGAAUUAUUGGGCGUAAAGAGCUCGUAGGCGGUUUGUCGCGUCUGCUGUGAAAUCUGGGGGCUCAACCCCCAGCCUGCAGUGGGUACGGGCAGACUAGAGUGCGGUAGGGGAGAUUGGAAUUCCUGGUGUAGCGGUGGAAUGCGCAGAUAUCAGGAGGAACACCGAUGGCGAAGGCAGAUCUCUGGGCCGUAACUGACGCUGAGGAGCGAAAGCAUGGGGAGCGAACAGGAUU
rnacentral:rRNA from 1 species